CUUUCUGCAAGGUGCUGCAUGGUGUCGUCAGCUCGUGCCGUGAGGUGUCGGGUUAAGUCCCAUAACGAGCGCAACCCCUUAUCGUUAGUUGCCAGCUGGUAAAGCAGGGGACUCGUAGCGAAACUGCCACGUAAGGUGAGAGGAAGUGGGGAUGACGUCAAAUCAGCACGGCCCUUAUGUCCAGGGCUACACACGUGUUACAAUGGCCGGCACAGAGGGCAGCUACCUGGUGACAGGAUGCUAAUCUCGAAAACCGGUCUCAGUUCGGAUCGAAGUCUGCAACUCGACUUCGUGAAGCUGGAUUCGCUAGUAAUCGCGGAUCAGCAUGCCGCGGUCGAAUCCGUUCCGGGCCUU
rnacentral:rRNA from 1 species